rnacentral:rRNA from 1 species
GAGUGAUCGAAAGAUGAAAAGCACUUUGAAAAGAGAGUUAAACAGCACGUGAAAUUGUUGAAAGGGAAGCGCUUGCGACCAGACUCGCCCACGGGGUUCAGCCGGCAUUCGUGCCGGUGUACUUCCCCGCGGGCGGGCCAGCGUCGGUUUGGGCGGCCGGUCAAAGGCCCUCGGAAUGUAACGCCCCCCGGGGCGUCUUAUAGCCGAGGGUGCCAUGCGGCCAGCCCGGACCGAGGAACGCGCUUCGGCUCGGACGCUGGCAUAAUGGUCGUAAGCGACCC